CAGCCGCCGCGGUAAUACGAAGGGUGCAAGCGUUACUCGGAAUUACUGGGCGUAAAGCGUGCGUAGGCGGCUUUUUAAGUCGGAUGUGAAAUCCCUGAGCUUAACUUAGGAAUUGCAUUCGAUACUGGGAAGCUAGAGUAUGGGAGAGGAUGGUAGAAUUCCAGGUGUAGCGGUGAAAUGCGUAGAGAUCUGGAGGAAUACCGAUGGCGAAGGCAGCCAUCUGGCCUAAUACUGACGCUGAGGUACGAAAGCAUGGGGAGCAAACAGGAUUAGAUACCCGCGUAGUCCCUGUCUCUUAUAC
rnacentral:rRNA from 1 species